rnacentral:lncRNA from 1 species
UGGGUAUGACAUGCGUAAGCGUAGGAAUGCAACCAAUCCAAUGUUCUCAAUGCAAAAUAGUAGGGAUGUCAUUGUUUACUAUUCUAGUCCAAGUCCACUUUAAUAGUUUUAAAGUUCACAAAGCACGUUCCGUCACUAAGUCCCCAAUCAUAUAAGACCCACCCGAAGACUGUCUUGCCUGCGCCGUGCCUAAUGGCCCCGUGGUAGUCAACAUCCCCACUCUAGGGAUGAGCCUCCCCCACGGUAAUCCACUUCGGCGCCCAAUCCCGCACGGCGAGCAUGUGUCGCGAUGGCUAUCUCCGGAGUGCCGGCUUGUAGGGAGC